rnacentral:rRNA from 1 species
AGCGAACGCUGGCGGCAGGCCUAACACAUGCAAGUCGAACGAACCUUUCGGGGGUAGUGGCGGACGGGUGAGUAACACGUGGGAACGUGCCUUUAGGUUCGGAAUAACUCAGGGAAACUUGUGCUAAUACCGAAUGUGCCCUUCGGGGGAAAGAUUCAUCGCCUUUAGAGCGUCCCGCGUCUGAUUAGCUAGUUGGUUGAGGUAAUGGCUCACCAAGGCGACGAUCAGUAGCUGGUCUGAGAGGAUGAUCAGCCACAUUGGGACUGAGACACGGCCCAAACUCCUCCGGGAGGCAGCAGUGGGGAAUCUUGCGAAAUGGGCGAAAGCAUGACGGAGCCAUGCCGCGUGAAUGAUGAAGGUCUUAGGAUAGUAAAAUUCUUUCACCGGGGACGAUAAUGACGGUACCCGGAGAAGAAGCCCCGGCUAACUUCGUG